rnacentral:rRNA from 1 species
UACGUAGGGUGCGAGCGUUGUCCGGAAUUAUUGGGCGUAAAGAGCUCGUAGGCGGUGUGUCGCGUCGGCCGUGAAAACCUGCAGCUUAACUGUGGGCUUGCGGUCGAUACGGGCAUCACUGGAGUUCGGCAGGGGAGACUGGAAUUCCUGGUGUAGCGGUGAAAUGCGCAGAUAUCAGGAGGAACACCGAUGGCGAAGGCCAGGUCUCUGGGCUGACACUGACGCUCAUGCA